AUGGUGAAUCCCACCCAGGGUGUCACGGGAGAAAUCAAGGACUCCACACCUCUCCCAGGCCCCAAGUGUCCUGAAUGCCCCAAGUGUCCCAAAUGUCCACCCCCUGAGCUCCCAGGAGGACCGUCCGUCUUCAUCUUCCCCCCGAAACCCAGGGACACCCUCACAAUCACCCAAACUCCCGAGGUCACCUGCGUUGUGGUUGACGUGGGCCACGAGGACCCCGAUGUCCAGUUCACCUGGUAUGUGGACGAUGUAGAGGUGCGCACGGCCAAGACGAAGCCAAGGGAGGAGCAAUUCAACAGCACCUACCGUGUGGUCAGCGCCCUGCCCAUCCAGCACCAGGACUGGCUGAAGGGAAAGGAGUUCAAGUGCAAGGUCAACAACAAAGGCCUCCCGGCCCCCAUCGUGAGGACCAUCUCCAAGGCCAAAGGGCAGCCCCGGGAGCCGCAGGUGUACAUACUGGCCCCAGCGCGGGAAGAGCUGGCCAAGAGCUCGGUCAGCGUCAGCAUAACCUGCAUGGUCACCGACUUCUACCCGAGCGACAUCGACGUGGAGUGGCAGAGAAACGGGCAGCCGGAGCAAGAGGAAAACUAUGGCACGACCCCACCCCAGCUGGAGGCCGACGGGUCCUUCUUCCUGUACAGCAAGCUCAGGGUGGACAAGAAGAGCUGGCAGCGGGGAGACACCUACACGUGUGUAGUGUUGCACGAGGCUCUACACAAUCACAACACGCAGAAGUCCAUCACCCAGUCUUCGGGUAAAUGA